AAAUGCAAAAGGCAAACCUGCUGAAAAGCAGGGACGCAAAGUUUCCGAUCUAAGGGGUAAAACCUAUGAUAGCGGGGCCGCCAAA
rnacentral:ncRNA from 1 species